GCUACAGGCUUAACACAUGCAAGUCGAGGGGCAGCACUAGGUAGCAAUACUGAGGUGGCGACCGGCGCACGGGUGCGUAACGCGUAUCCAACCUUCCCGUUACUCAGGGAUAGCCUUCCGAAAGGGAGAUUAAUACCUGAUGGUGUUCAAAUUCCGCAUGUUAUUUGAACUAAAGAUUUAUCGGUAACGGAUGGGGAUGCGUGACAUUAGGUAGAUGGCGGGGUAACGGCCCACCAUGCCUACGAUGUCUAGGGGUUCUGAGAGGAAGGUCCCCCACACUGGAACUGAGACACGGUCCAGACUCCUACGGGAGGCAGCAGUGAGGAAUAUUGGUCAAUGGCCGGAAGGCUGAACCAGCCAAGUAGCGUGAAGGAUGAAGGUUCUAUGGAUUGUAAACUUCUUUUAUACGGGAAUAAAACCACCUACGUGUAGGUGCUUGUAUGUACCGUAUGAAUAAGCAUCGGCUAACUCCGUGCCAGCAGCCGCGGUAAUACGGAGGAUGCGAGCGUUAUCCGGAUUUAUUGGGUUUAAAGGGAGCGUAGACGGGAGAUUAAGUCAGUUGUGAAAGGCUGCGGCUCAACCGCAGCACUGCAGUUGAUACUGGUUUCCUUGAGUGCGGUUGAGGUGUAUGGAAUUCGUGGUGUAGCGGUGAAAUGCUUAGAUAUCACGAAGAACUCCGAUUG
rnacentral:rRNA from 1 species